GCUGAUAUGGCCGAGUGGUUAAGGCGGUGGACUUAAGUUUAUCCCCUAUACUUAAGAUACCCACUAUCGCAAGAUUCAGGAGUUCGAACCUCCUUGUCAGCA